UUCGCCCUUUUCCGGUUGAUCCUGCCGGACCCGACUGCUAUCGGAUUGAGAUUUAGCCAUGCGAGUUGAACGUCCCUUGAUUGCAGGGGGCGUAGCAUACGGCUCAGUAACACGUAGUCAACCUGCCCUGGAGACGCGGAUAACCCCGGGAAACUGGGACCAAUCCGUGAUAGGUCGCCCCAUCUGGAAGGAGGGGCGGCCCAAAGGGGAAUUGUGGGCUUCCACUUUUCUCGCUCUAGGAUGGGACUGCGGCCGAUCAGGCUGUUGGCGGGGUAAUGGCCCACCAAACCUGUAACCGAUACGGGCCUUGAGAGAGGUGGCCCGGAGAUGGACACUGAGACAAGGGUCCAGGUCCUACGGGGCGCAGCAGGCGCGAAACCUUCACAAUGUGCGAAAGCAUGACGAGGUUAAUCCGAGUGGCUUCCGCUGAGGAAGUCUUUUGCCGACUGUAAAAAGGUCGGAGAAUAAGGGGAGGGCAAGUCUGGUGUCAGCCGCCGCGGUAAUACCAGCUCCUCGAGUGGUCGGGGCGAUUAUUGGGCCUAAAGCAUCCGUAGCCGGUUCCGUAGGUCUCCUGCAAAAUCCAGUCGCUCAACGAUUGGCCCGCAGGAGAUACCGCGGGACUAGGAGGCGGGAGAGGUGGACGGUACUCCACGUGUAGGGGUAAAAUCCUUUGAUCCGUGGAAGACCACCAGUGGCGAAGGCGGUCCACCAGAACGCGCUCGACGGUGAGGGAUGAAAGCUGGGGGAGCGAACCGGAUUAGAUACCCGGGUAGUCCCAGCCGUAAACGAUGCUAGCUAGAUGAUCCGAUCGUAAAUCAUGAUCGGAGUGUCGCAGGGAAGCCGUUAAGCUAGCCGCCUGGGGAGUACGGUCGCAAGACUGAAACUUAAAGGAAUUGGCGGGGGAGCACCACAAGGGGUGAAGCCUGCGGUUCAAUUGGAGUCAACGCCAGGAAACUUACCAGGAGAGACAGCAGAUUGAGGGUCAGACUGAAGAUCUUACCUGACGAGCUGAGAGGAGGUGCAUGGCCGUCGCCAGCUCGUGCCGUGAGGCGUCCUGUUAAGUCAGGCAACGAGCGAGACCCAAAGGGCGA
rnacentral:rRNA from 2 species